AGCGGGAAGUAGCUUACUACUUUGCCGGCGAGCGGCGGACGGGUGAGUAAUGUCUGGGAAACUGCCUGAUGGAGGGGGAUAACUACUGGAAACGGUAGCUAAUACCGCAUAACGUCUUCGGACCAAAGUGGGGGACCUUAGGGCCUCACGCCAUCGGAUGUGCCCAGAUGGGAUUAGCUAGUAGGUGGGGUAAUGGCUCACCUAGGCGACGAUCCCUAGCUGGUCUGAGAGGAUGACCAGCCACACUGGAACUGAGACACGGUCCAGACUCCUACGGGAGGCAGCAGUGGGGAAUAUUGCACAAUGGGCGCAAGCCUGAUGCAGCCAUGCCGCGUGUGUGAAGAAGGCCUUCGGGUUGUAAAGCACUUUCAGCGAGGAGGAAGGCCAAUAACUUAAUACGUUGUUGGAUUGACGUUACUCGCAGAAGAAGCACCGGCUAACUCCGUGCCAGCAGCCGCGGUAAUACGGAGGGUGCAAGCGUUAAUCGGAAUUACUGGGCGUAAAGCGCACGCAGGCGGUUUGUUAAGUCAAAUGUGAAAUCCCCGCGCUUAACGUGGGAACUGCAUUUAAAACUGGCAAGCUAGAGUCUUGUAGAGGGGGGUAGAAUUCCAGGUGUAGCGGUGAAAUGCGUAGAGAUCUGGAGGAAUACCGGUGGCGAAGGCGGCCCCCUGGACAAAGACUGACGCUCAGGUGCGAAAGCGUGGGGAGCAAACA
rnacentral:rRNA from 1 species